UCUGUGGUCGUCUUGACCGGGCGAGAGUCCAGACUUUGCUGUGUUCGACUCGUAGAGAAGGCAUUCAUGCGGAUUCGGAUCCUCAUGUCGUCAUGAAAAAGUGUUCAUUUAUUGUGUGAAUUAUUUAAUUGCACUCAAUCUUUGGACAGAACUAGACUCACAGUUUUGUCCUUUGCAAUUUGUGUGUAAAUUGCAUAUUCUAUUGUUGACGAUGAAGACGCUUGGACGUUGGUAGCAUGAACUGAAUGAUUGGAACUGCAGUACGAUAGCUGCUACAUUUAUGUGCGAACUGCUGGUUGCUCCGCGCUGCGUACUGAUGGGUUACGCAAGUGCCACGCUAAUCAUCAUUCACUGAUGCUGGCGUAUCACACAAUGGAGUUGGGAGAUGUGCGUAGCAGAUCAGCGGAUAGCGUUUAUAAGAGGCAGCAGUGUGCCUUGCCAUGAUCAACGCAGAAUAUACAAGUGCAGUUGAGGCUGAUGCGCCGGUUGACACGAUUGCCGAGGCUAAGGAUAACAGCAGAAGGGCUGAUGCUGAACAGACUGCACAUGUUGAAGCGGUUUGCGUAGCCAUCAUAUGAACAGGCAAGAUCGAGGAGCAAGUGAUCACCCAUACCUUGUCAUAUUGGUGUGAAGUCAGCCAUGACUAGUGGUUGUGUUCUGGGAGCAUGCUGUCAUCUGACCAGUCCAGAAACACUACCUGAGAAUACGGUAGUGUUUGGCGAGUGCUAUCAGCGGCGAGUGCAAGGUGAUAAACCCACGGCACCGACAUUACAGCUGGACUUCCUGACAAAGAUAUUGCCAAACUACCAUCACAUGCAGACGUCACAGUCGGCAGCAGCAAUAUCUUGACCAAAGGUAUCCUUGCCCCAUCCACCUUACGUGGCCCUGUGUUUUUUGCUGCAAACCCGCAUUCGCUGAACACGAGGUCUAAGAUGUAAUUGACUAGAUCAAAUUACUGGUUACGCUAUCGAAACCUAUCAAUUUCCUCUGCACGUUCUGCUGUGGGACAUGUUAUCGUGUCUCAUUCUUUCACCUGCUGAUCAUAUAGCACAGAUAUUGUUCUAACAUUGUACUCAGCAGAGUAAUGCUGGUGUGUGUAUUUACACACAGCUAGAUCAUUGUCACAUUCAUGUGCAUUGGCUGACUCGAUGGUUUAUAUAAUUAUGCACCACAGGCUGAUAUGGGUAACCAUUCAUGACAUCUCUCCUGAGGUGCGUUGUCCACACAUUUCUAACCUAUUGCUUGGAUAUGCUGGUUCUAGGCGGUAUCCCGUUACUAGGAAAUGCCCACGCAAGGCUAUAAUCUUUGUUUCUAGGAAAUGUUGGUUCUAGGCUAUAAUAAUUAUUAGCGCUCAAACGGUUAGUCCGAUUAACCGGUUGCAGACCGGUUACGAAGAAUUUACGGUUAACCGAUAAAGAUAACGGUUACGCAGUAACUUUUCAGUCAAUUUUUCGAGGAUCAGGUCGUUGCAAAGUAUGCACUUUCGCAGGCUGUGUCGCACGUGUACGCAAUUUCUGGGCUGUGAACUCGGUCAUAUCUGGUCUCUUGAUGUGAGAGUAUGUAUGAAUGAGCAUGCAAGAGAAUGUACAUGUGUGAGUUGUACUGAAUAGGGUACAUUGUUUGAAUGAGUAUAGUCAAAUAUACGGUUAAAAAAGAGUCCGCAGGAUCGCCGUGGCUUAUAGGUUAUAGCCGUUAAACCGAUCGUUAGCUUAGCAGUUAACCGUUAGGGGUAAAACCGUGACCGUUUGAGCCCUAAUUAUUAUGCAGUUGGCAUCCCUCAGUCUGGCAUGCUGAAAUUUUCAAGUCGACGCUCCACGACUGCCUUCUAUAUUUGGAUUUCGUUGAUGUGGCAAACAAUUGCCGCUGCUUUUAACACUGUAGUUAACACACACAUGAUUUGCUUCUUAUCUGGACAGUGUUUUUGUGUGCUAUUCUGACAUGGUUCUUGUGUCAUGUGGUCAAGAACACUGAUUUUCUACUGUU